GCCGAGACGGGUAUAAGUUUGAUGGAUGUCGACUGCGGGUGGAAUUUGCGCAUGGUGGAAGGGGGCAUUCCUCUUCUGUUGAUCGUUAUAGUCGUAGUGGGAGCAGUCGUGGUGGUGUUUCUCGACGAACUGACUAUCGUGUGUUGGUUACUGGAUUACCUUCUUCUGCUUCUUGGCAAGACCUGAAGGAUCACAUGCGUCGUGCUGGUGAUGUCUGCUUCUCUGAAGUUUUCCGCGAUCGUGGUGGGAUGGCAGGAAUAGUAGAUUAUACAAACUAUGAUGACAUG
rnacentral:misc_RNA from 1 species